AAUACAUGUUUGUUUUAUUUGUCUAUAUCCAAGAAUCGCAGCUGGACACAUUCUUCUACACUGUAUGCAAACAUGCAACAUCAUUACACACAGUACUGGAGUCAGACUGGCAUAUGAGGAGCAAAGGAACCCAGACAGUAGCAUCGUUUCACAAUGUUUCAAUCACCAUCAUCAGUGGAUGCCUUUGCCGUCCGUACCCUGAGAUUUCAGAUUUGCAGCAAAAAAUUUGACUUUCCCAUUUAUUGGAAUGCUGUGCAGUUUGUACCUUGCAGCCAUCCAUUACAAUGUCACCAAGCCGUAACAAAAGCAGGAGAGGGAAAGUACAAGGCUAUGUUCCCAAAACACACAAGUGACAUACCGUAAGCAGUAAUGUUUUAUUUCAAAUACAUUCAUAAUUAAAAACUUAC